GACGAACGCUGGCGGCGUGCUUAACACAUGCAAGUCGAACGGUGAUGCUCCAUCUUGCUGGAUUGGAUCAUUGGCGAACGGGUGAGUAACACGUGAGCAACCUGCCCCAGACUCUGGAAUAAGCGCUGGAAACGGCGUCUACUACUGGAUACUAAACUGGCCCGCAUGGGCAUUGUUUGUAAAGUUUUUCGGUUUGGGAUGGGCUCGCGGCCUAUGAGCUUGUUGGUGAGGUAAUUGCUCACCAAGGCGACGACGGGUAGCCGGCCUGAGAGGGCUACCGGCCACACUGGGACUGAGACACGGCCCAGACUCCUACGGGAGGCAGCAGUGGGGAAGAUUGCACAAUGGGCGAAAGCCAGAUGCAGCGACGCCGCGUGAGGGAUGACGGCCUUCGGGUUGUAAACAUAUUUCAGCAGGGAAGAAGCGAAAGUGACGGUACCUGCAGAAGAAGCACCGGCUAACUACGUG
rnacentral:rRNA from 1 species